CCCAUAAACAUUCAGAACAUUCUAGAGAGAGAAAGGGAGGAGAAAUUUAGAGAGAAAUCAAUUUUGACCAAAAUCUAAGCCCCGAAUCGCGAAGCUCAUGAAGAGAAAAGUGUUGUACGUCGCGUUGCCUUCAAUUUGAGCUAAAAAUCAGCCAAGAAGAAGAUUGUUGAAGUGGUUGCUGCAUACUUAAGAUUUUGGAGGAAAUGGGAUUCGAAUUUGGAUAAGCGUAAAGGGCAAGUAAGGUACACCCAGAUGAGUUGAAGUUAUUACAGAAGAUGUUCCAGCGGAGUUGGCAGGCUCCAUUUGCUCCCGGA